rnacentral:sRNA from 1 species
GUGCGGUUUAUCCAGUGUUUGUUGCGAUUUUGUGCAAUCAUUUGCUUUGAGCGGCCCUUUCGAACCGGUGCGGGAUGUGGCAGGAGCCUGCUUUGUUCUUUUCCCGACCCGGCGCCGGUUGGAAAUGCGCUCCCGCAU